AGUGAACGCUGGCGGUAGGCCUAACACAUGCAAGUCGAACGGCAGCACAGUAAUAGCGUGCUCUUACGGGUGGCGAGUGGCGGACGGGUGAGGAAUGCAUCGGAAUCUACUUUUUCGGGUGGAUUAAGGAAGGUAAGGUUCAUUAAGGCCAGGAACGACCGAUGGGUGAAAGGGGUGGGAAUGUUGAGCCGGCGGGGGUGGAUCAGGCGGCGUCGGAGUUGCUUGGUGGGGGGGUAAAGUCCCAACAAGUUGACGAGUCGUAGGUGGGCUCAGAGGAUGAUCAGCCACACUGGAACUGAAACACGGUCCAGACUCCUAAGGGAGGCCGCAGUGGGGAAUAUUGGACAAUGGGCGCAAGCCUGACACAGCCAUACCGAGUCGGUGAAGACGGCCUUCGGGUUGUAAAGCCCUUUUGUUGGGAAAGAACAGCAGCCGGCUAAUACGAAGCUGUUCUGACGGUAACCAAAGAAUAAGCACCGGCUAACUUCGUG
rnacentral:rRNA from 1 species